AUUGAACGCUGGCGGCAGGCCUAACACAUGCAAGUCGAGCGGAUGAAGGGAGCUUGCUCCUGGAUUCAGCGGCGGACGGGUGAGUAAUGCCUAGGAAUCUGCCUGGUAGUGGGGGAUAACGUCCGGAAACGGGCGCUAAUACCGCAUACGUCCUGAGGGAGAAAGUGGGGGAUCUUCGGACCUCACGCUAUCAGAUGAGCCAGGUCGGAUUAGCCAGUUGGUGGGGUAAAGGCCUACCAAGGCGACGAUCCGUAACUGGUCUGAGAGGAUGAUCAGUCACACUGGAACUGAGACACGGUCCAGACUCCUACGGGAGGCAGCAGUGGGGAAUAUUGGACAAUGGGCGAAAGCCUGAUCCAGCUAUGCCGCGUGUGUGAAGAAGGUCUUCGGAUUGUAAAGCACUUUAAGUUGGGAGGAAGGGCAGUAAGUUAAUACCUUGCUGUUUUGACGUUACCAACAGAAUAAGCACCGGCUAACUUCGUG
rnacentral:rRNA from 1 species